rnacentral:rRNA from 1 species
GAUGAACGCUGGCGGCGUGCUUAACACAUGCAAGUCGAACGGGAAACUUUUCAUUGAAGCUUCGGCAGAUUUGGUCUGUUUCUAGUGGCGGACGGGUGAGUAACGCGUGGGUAACCUGCCUUAUACAGGGGGAUAACAACCAGAAAUGGUUGCUAAUACCGCAUAAGCGCACAGGACCGCAUGGUCCGGUGUGAAAAACUCCGGUGGUAUAAGAUGGACCCGCGUUGGAUUAGCUAGUUGGCAGGGUAACGGCCUACCAAGGCGACGAUCCAUAGCCGGCCUGGGAGGGUGAACGGCCACAUUGGGACUGAGACACGGCCCAGACUCCUACGGGAGGCAGCAGUGGGGAAUAUUGCACAAUGGGGGAAACCCUGAUGCAGCGACGCCGCGUGAAGGAAGAAGUAUCUCGGUAUGUAAACUUCUAUCAGCAGGGAAGAU